rnacentral:rRNA from 1 species
GAUCCUGGCUCAGGAUGAACGCUAGCUACAGGCUUAACACAUGCAAGUCGAGGGGCAGCAUUCCAGUUUGCUUGCAAACUGGAGAUGGCGACCGGCGCACGGGUGAGUAACACGUAUCCAACCUGCCGAUAACUCGGGGAUAGCCUUUCGAAAGAAAGAUUAAUACCCGAUGGCCUAAUAGAACCGCAUGGUUUGAUUAUUAAAGAAUUUCGGUUAUCGAUGGGGAUGCGUUCCAUUAGGCAGUUGGUGGGG